GGUCAGCUCACACGUGGUCUGCAGUGUUCAGCUUUCGAUGGAAAUGUGGCUGGUCUCUCCGGAGGUUGGGAGGAGCUGGACAAAAGUUUGUAUUACAGGCUCGUAGCACUGGAGGUUUCUGCCGGAGCAGACAACUGGAGGAAGGCCGGCCCUGCUGAACACAGUGGACUGAUCGGGUCUGGACCCCUCCUCCACAGGUGAGGACUUCAUCUCGGACAAGCAUCACUAUAUGGAUUGGCAUAUGAGAGGAAAAACUAUGCUGAGGUAAAAAGAGUAUGAGUUUCGGAAUUAGCCCCAAAUUCAAAUAUAGCUGUAUUAUCGUUAUCAAAUCAUUUAAACCAGAAGUUGGCAAACUUUUUUUGUAAAGAGCAAGAUAGUAAA